UACGGAGGGGGCUAGCGUUGUUCGGAAUUACUGGGCGUAAAGCGCACGUAGGCGGCUUUGUAAGUUAGAGGUGAAAGCCCGGGGCUCAACUCCGGAAUUGCCUUUAAGACUGCAUCGCUAGAAUUGUGGAGAGGUAAGUGGAAUUCCGAGUGUAGAGGUGAAAUUCGUAGAUAUUCGGAAGAACACCAGUGGCGAAGGCGACUUACUGGACACAUAUUGACGCUGAGGUGCGAAAGCGUGGGGAGCAAACAGGGAUUAGAAAACCCUGGU
rnacentral:rRNA from 1 species